CUGGGAGUUAACAGAACCGGUCAACAGUGUCUCCGCUGCCGCUCUAAUUUGCCUCUCGUCCUCUGCCAUUCUACCAGCCUGCCUUUGAUAUCUGCGACGCCGAUGGCCUGAAAAAAUAAGAAUUCAACACGGAAUAACUGAAAUGGGUUGAUAAGGAAAAUGGAAAAGUGGAAUUUUUAUAGCCGCAGAGCAUAAGAGAAACAUUUGAAUGAAUUCGAUUUGUGUGAGAAGUGAUUAUGUUUACAUUCGUAGAUAAAAGCGUUAGAUGUGUGUGCACUGAUAAAUGAUCAAUCAGUGUUACUAACGUACGAACAACAAAAAUGAUCCAAGCUUUUGUAUCUAAAUAAGUAAAGAAUAUAUUAUCAAA